UAUACAAUGAAGAGUUUGAUCCUGGCUCAGGAUGAACGCUAGCGGCAGGCUUAACACAUGCAAGUCGAGGGGUAACAUUGUGCUUGCACAGAUGACGACCGGCGAACGGGUGCGUAACGCGUAUAGAAUCUGCCUUGUACAGGAGGAUAGCCUUUAGAAAUGAAGAUUAACACUCCAUAAUGUAGUGAUUCGGCAUCGAAACACUAUUAAACAUUUAUGGGUACAAGAUGACUAUGCGUCCUAUUAGCUAGAUGGUGAGGUAACGGCUUACCAUGGCGACGAUAGGUAGGGGGUCUGAGAGGAUUAUCCCCCACACUGGUACUGAGACACGGACCAGACUCCUACGGGAGGCAGCAGUGAGGAAUAUUGGUCAAUGGAGGCAAC
rnacentral:rRNA from 1 species